GACGAACGCUGGCGGCGUGCUUAACACAUGCAAGUCGAACGGAAAGGCCCUUCGGGGUACUCGAGUGGCGAACGGGUGAGUAACACGUGGGUGAUCUGCCCUGCACUUUGGGAUAAGCCUGGGAAACUGGGUCUAAUACCGGAUAGGACUACGGCCUGCAUGGGUUGUGGUGGAAAGCUUUUGCGGUGUGGGAUGGGCCCGCGGCCUAUCAGCUUGUUGGUGGGGUGAUGGCCUACCAAGGCGACGACGGGUAGCCGGCCUGAGAGGGUGACCGGCCACACUGGGACUGAGAUACGGCCCAGACUCCUACGGGAGGCAGCAGUGGGGAAUAUUGCACAAUGGGCGCAAGCCUGAUGCAGCGACGCCGCGUGGGGGAUGACGGCCUCGGUUGUUAACCGUACUUUCUACGUAGGGUACGG
rnacentral:rRNA from 1 species